UGGGGAAUAUUGGGCAAUGGGCGAAAGCCUGACUCAGCAACGCCGCGUGAAGUAUGAAGGCCUUCGGGUUGUAAACUUCUUUGAUCAGGGAAGAAACAAAUGACGGUACCUGAAAAACAAGCCACGGCUAACUACGUGCCAGCAGCCGCGGUAAUACGUAGGUGGCGAGCGUUAUCCGGAUUUACUGGGUGUAAAGGGCGUGCAGGCGGGCUGAUAAGUCAGAUGUGAAAUCCCCGAGCUUAACUCGGGAACUGCAUCUGAUACUGUUGGUCUUGAGUGCUGGAGAGGAUAGUGGAAUUCCUAGUGUAGCGGUAAAAUGCGCAGAUAUUAGGAGGAACACCAGUGGCGAAGGCGGCUAUCUGGACAGUAACUGACGCUGAGGCGCGAAAGCGUGGGUAGCAAACAGG
rnacentral:rRNA from 1 species